ensembl:lncRNA
AGUGAUGUAUGAAGUUGGACCAUAGGAUAUCAGAACGUACCCACUCACACAGGCAUGUAUGAAGUUGGAGCAUAGGAUAUCAGAACGUACCCACUCACACAGGCAGCGCCAACAGGUAACUUGGCCUCCAACAUGGCUUCCUCAGAGACCCUGAGUGCACUAAGCAUCUGAUGCUCAUAUUAUCUACCCCAAGUUCCACAGGGGGGCAGAUGCCCGUGGUAGUGGCUCUAGACGGGACCAGUCACACAGAGGGGUUCAAGAGGUCACGCAGAGGGGUUCAAGAGGUCACACAGAGGGGUUCAAGAGGUCACACAGAGGGGUUCUAGAGGUCACACAGAGGGGUUCUAGAGGUCACACAGAGGGGUUCUAGAGGUCACGCAGAGGGGUUCUAGAGGUCACGCAGAGGGGUUCUAGAGGUCACACAGAGGGGUUCCAAGUCCUCGAGAAAAUUGGUCUCGCAAGAGGUGGAUACUCUGUGCACAGUGAAAAUGUGU